CUUUGCAAGAAAAAAAAUAAACUUUUUUCCCGAAAAUUAGUGAUCUAUCUAUAAUUUGCUAAGAGCCCAUUAAUAAAUGUGGCAAUAUUUCUAAAAAAAUUCUAAAUAGUGGCUACAUACCUGCCGCACUUAUAUAUAGCUGGUUCUCCUUAAGCCCAGUAUAAGCUGACCCAGGCACAAACAGCCUAGGUAAAAAAAUUAGGGACAAGCCUGAUUUCUCUAUUUAUUCAACCGAUUCCCCCCACGACCGUAGGCCUAAAACCAGCCAUCAGCAAAUCACGUAACAGAUUUUCUAUAAAUAAUAUUACAAAUUCUUUCAAUAUUUCCCAAGGAGUAAUUAUAAAAACCCCCCCCUACAACCCACCUAUGCAAAGACUAUUACUUAAAUAUAUAAUAAGAAGGAACUCGGCAAAUACAUUCUCCGCCUGUUUACCAAAAACAUCGCCUGUGGCCCCUCAUCAUAGGUCCAUCCUGCCCAGUGACAUCCUUAAACGGCCGCGGUACCCUGACCGUGCUAAGGUAGCGUAAUCAUUUGCCCCUUAAUUAGUGGCCUGUAUGAACGGACAAACGAGAGAAUAGCUGUCUCCCUAUUAUAAAUGAAAUCUUAUCUUCAGGUGAAGAAGCCUGAAUCUGUAUAAAAGACAAGAAGACCUCGUCGAGCUUUAACAAUAUUUAAUCACCAACUACUCCCCUCAGAACGCGUAACCCCUAUAAAAGUUUUUGUUGGGGCAACACUGGAUAAAGUAACCUCCAUAAAACUAAAGACCCCGCGUCACCCUGUAGACCCCCCCACAGAUCUUAGGCACCAGCUACCGCAGGGAUAACAGGCUAAUUCUCUACAAGAGCCCAAAUCGACUAGAGAGGUUGGCACCUCGAUGUUGGCUUAAGAUUCCCC
rnacentral:rRNA from 1 species